rnacentral:snRNA from 1 species
AGCUUUGCGCAGUGGCAGUAUCGUAGCCAAUGAGGUUUAGCCGAGGCACGAUUAUUGCUAAUUGAAAUGUAUUCUAUAAAAGGAACUACUUCAAUUGAUGUAUCUUUCUCUAUAAA